rnacentral:ncRNA from 1 species
GGUUAAGUUAAUAAGGGCGCACGGUGGAUGCCUUGGCACUAGAAGCCGAAGAAGGACGUGAUAAGCUGCGAAAAGCUUCGGGGAGGAGCAAAUAUCCUAUGAGCCGGAGAUAUCUGAAUGGGGAAACCC